rnacentral:rRNA from 1 species
UACGGGGGGGGCAAGCGUUGUUCGGAAUUACUGGGCGUAAAGGGCUCGUAGGCGGCCCACUAAGUCAUACGUGAAAUCCCUCGGCUUAACCGGGGAACUGCGUCUGAUACUGGAUGGCUUGAGAUUGGGAGAGGGAUGCGGAAUUCCAGGUGUAGCGGUGAAAUGCGUAGAUAUCUGGAGGAACACCGGUGGCGAAGGCGGCAUCCUGGACCAACACUGACGCUGAGGAGCGAAAGCCAGGGGAGCAAACGGG